AUCUGGCUGACGAGUCCCAAAUAGGACGAAACACGCAUUCUGGAC
rfam:Schistosoma mansoni strain Puerto Rico chromosome 6, complete genome